UACGUAGGGGGCAAGCGUUGUCCGGAUUUAUUGGGCGUAAAGCGCUCGCAGGCGGCUUGCUACGUCGUGCGUGAAACACCCCGGCUCAACUGGGGAGGGUCGUGCGAUACGGGCAGGCUGGAGGCCAGUAGGGGGAUGCGGAAUUCCCGGUGUAGCGGUGAAAUGCGCAGAUAUCGGGAAGAACACCCGUGGCGAAGGCGGCGACCUGGGCCAAUAUUGACGCUGAGGUGCGAAAGCGUGGGGAGCAAACAGG
rnacentral:rRNA from 1 species